AGAAUCAACGCUGGCGGCGUGCCUAACACAUGCAAGUCGAACGAGAAAGUGGAGCAAUCCAUGAGUAAAGUGGCGCACGGGUGAGUAACACGUGACUAACCUACCCUUGAGUGGGGGAUAACCUAGGGAAACCUGGGCUAAUACCGCAUAAUACCUUCGGGUCAAAGGAGCAAUUCGCUUAAGGAGGGGUCGCGGCCGAUUAGUUAGUUGGCGGGGUAAUGGCCCACCAAGACUGUGAUCGGUAUCCGGCCUGAGAGGGCGCACGGACACACUGGAACUGAAACACGGUCCAGACUCCUACGGGAGGCAGCAGUGGGGAAUUUGCGCAAUGGGGGAAACCCUGACGCAGCAACGCCGCGUGGAGGAUGAAGUCCCUUGGGACGUAAACUCCUUUCGAUCGGGACGAUUAUGACGGUACCGGAAGAAGAAGCCCCGGCUAACUUCGCGCCAGCAGCCGC
rnacentral:rRNA from 1 species